rnacentral:snRNA from 1 species
AGCUUUGUGCAGUGGCAGUAUCAUAGCCAGUGAGGUUUAUCCGAGGCGCGAUUAUUGCUAAUUAAAAGUCAAAUACUCCAUAAACUUAAUUUCUUUUUCAUCCAAAGUAACACCUAUUCAGAAAAGGGAAUAAAAUGUAUUAUAUUCAAUGAGUUUGCUAUUGA